AAGAGGCAGCUGGCAACAUGUACACGCCUAGAUUAGAGUUACCACCUCUCACCAAGACAUGAGUCGAGUAUUUUGCCUUUAAAUAUCCCUCUAAUACUAUUGCUUUGUUUCGUAAAUGCGUAAAAAAUAAGACGUAAUAUCGACAUCCAACCGCUACGUCUAAUUAAUCCGACUUUUACGAAGUGAUAGUUUUGUUUGAUUUAUUUAGAACAUGUUAAGCUUGUGGUAAACCCCGGGCUUAUGGAGUGCUGGAACCCAUCACGAGACCUCUAACUGCCGGUGAGGUGUUACGGUGUAACAAGAGGAACUCGGAGGAAUUGUUCGGCGGACUGUUAAGAUGGAGUGGAAUGCUUCAGGCUCCCUGCCUCCCCUCCCCUUCAGCAGUUGCUGAACGAGGCAAUACAUGGCUCGACAAAUACAUCAGGUAACCCCGACAACGCCACGUCCUCCGUCCUCGUCGCUCCUUUCCUGAAGCGUGAGUAAGAACUUUGC